rnacentral:lncRNA from 1 species
CACGGAUUUCGCUCGCUACUGGUAGAGGGUAAUGAGUUUGUGAUGUUAGGAAAAGGACAAGAAGAGGCGUAACCCUGCUCCACAGGAAGGUCGUGGCGCCAAAAGCCGGGAGCUGAGAGCCGGGGUGAAGGUGUCCAUGGGCCUCAAUGUUUCUGACUGCUUUUACUAUCACUGCCUAAGGUUACACUCUACUACAGGUUGAAGAUAUUGGCCAGAACUCUUUCCACACAAUGCCUGGUGGUGGUGGUGACACAGGAAGCAAGGAAGAGUUGACAAGUCUAAGGAAACCAGCCAGAUCAAAGAAGGGAACAAGUAAACACCAAGGAAUUAACAGAUCAGUAUUUUUGGAGAAUUUUGUUUCAUAUUUACUUUUGUGCUUUUAAAUCUUGAUCUGCUGCUGAAGUUUAAAAACGGGUGACCACACAGAUGAUUGACGAAAAUCACUCCAUUUUGACAUUUUUAAUUUUUGUGCUAAAAUAUUUCCUUUGCCAUAGAACUACAACGUGGUAAGUGUGAAACACAUAUCUGAGCCAUAUAACCCAUUCCCUGCCCCCCAAAAGCUACCCCUCUCGCGCCCCAUCCCAGCCACUGCAUCGCAAUAGGCCAGCUCUGCCACACACACAC